UGUUUUCCAAAGAUGCUCUUGAAGUAGU
rnacentral:piRNA from 1 species